CCCUUAGAUGUCCUGGGCCGCACGCGCGCUACACUGACAUGUUCAACAAGCCUCCUAGUUCGACAGGAUUCGGGAAAUCUUUGAACGCAUGUCGUGAUAGGGAUAGAUCAUUGCAAUUAUUGAUCUUGAACGAGGAAUUCCUAGUAAACGCGAGUCAUCAGCUCGCAUUGAUUACGUCCCUGCCCUUUGUACACACCGCCCGUCGCACCUACCGAUUGAAUGUUUCGGUGAAGAUUCCGGAUAGGACUUUUUUGAUUUAUUUCAAUUCUGUCUUAAAAGCUAUCUAAACCUCAACAUUUAGAGGAAGGUGAAGUCGUAACA
rnacentral:rRNA from 1 species